rnacentral:rRNA from 1 species
UACGAAGGGGACUAGCGUUGUUCGGAAUCACUGGGCGUAAAGCGCACGUAGGCGGAUUUGUAAGUCAGGGGUGAAAUCCCGGGGCUCAACCUCGGAACUGCCUUUGAUACUGCGAGUCUUGAGUCCGAUAGAGGUGGGUGGAAUUCCUAGUGUAGAGGUGAAAUUCGUAGAUAUUAGGAAGAACACCAGUGGCGAAGGCGGCCCACUGGAUCGGUCUGACGCUGAGGUGCGAAAGCGUGGGGAGCAA